AAAGAAACUGAGGAGCAGCCACGUGAGCACAGCAAGAAGUCGGCCCUUUACAAGCCAGGACGUGGGUCCUCACAAGAAACUGAAUCGUCUGGCAUCUUGAUCUUGGACUUUCAGCCUCCAGAACUGAGGCUGUUUACCCACAAUUCACGGUGAAAAACUGAAAACAGCUGUUGAGAAGAACCGAGGUCCCAGUCCUCCCACGGUGGGAAAAGGGGGUGAAAAAGGUCUGCAGCCGGGGAUCUGCAUCCCUCCUCCAAAGGAUGGCAAAGUGACAUUUUCCCGCUACCACCGAGGGAAAGAAGUGACACUAAGAACUAACGCAUCGCCUGGGAGGUGGACGUUUCCUGCCUUCCUCCGAAUACGCCGGAAGAUGCUCUAGUGCAAGAACGUGGAGUCUCCCUCUGCAGUACUGUCCUCUGGGCCCUCCCGAAGUUGCCCUCUUCUUGGUGCUUCUGUUACCCGUGCAAUCAGGGAAUUGAGUUCCCCUGGUAACAAAACCUUCAAAAGCCAAGUCCAAGGUGAACCUACCUUGGAUCAAAUUCGGCAUUUGAGUGUGUCAGGCUAAGGGGAGGCUCCAAGGCAGAUGCUGCUUGUGAAUCUGAGUCUGCUGACCGAGAACUCUCUAAGCCAGCAGGUCAACUUGGUUUCUGCUGCGCUGACGACAAGGGCAAGCAUUUACUGGGCACUUCCUGUGUGCCAGGCAAGUGCUGAGUGCAUCACCUGAACUAGCUCAUUAAUCCUCAGAGAAGCUCUCUGAAGUCCACACUGUCCUCAUCCCCGUCUCACAGAGGACACAAGAGAACUGUCACUUGCCCCAGGACCCAGCAAGUGGCUCUCAAACUCACUCUCAACCACAGGGAGGGAGGGAUCUGCUGAGAUGCACCAUGGAUCCUGAUGGACCUCAGAGAACAGUUAAUCCGGUCCCUCUGUUCACAGAUGGAGAAGCUGAGUCCCAGAGAGGGGAAGGGACUGGCCCAAGUCCACACAGAGAAUGGAAAAGCCUGCCCGAGCACAGCGCACUAAGAAUUAUCCUGCGCCUUGACAUUCUUGGCUAGUGUCAGGAGGUCCCCCUAAGCCCUGAGUCACAGGUUUUUAUUUUAUUUUCCCCAGAUUCCAAAGUGGCUUCAGUCCUUCGUGGGACUAAACACGUCGGCAUAAGAUCUUGUCAAAACAACAGCACAUCCCUUGUUUUAGGACUUUCAUCGAGGAGUAGACUGUCCCACCAGGAUCACCGGCCUCUUGUGAUGUGAAUUCUGGCUUCUGCAGGUCAUUAGCUCGUGUCCCUGGUCAAGCCACUCAACCUCUGAGCUGGUUUGUUCAUCGGUAAAAUGGGGAUACCAAUAUUCGAGAAAGGGUGUAUUAUAUUCCAGGCCAGUGCUGUCCAACACAAAUGUAACGGGAGCCACAGGUGCCAGCGAGAGUGAGAGUUGGCAUCCUUUUAUUUCUUUUGCAAUAACUUUCUUAAGCUCAAGGAUGGAGGCGUGUUUGAUUUUGAAUUUUUUCCUUUUUCUUCUUCUCCCCAAAGCCCCCCAGUACUUAGUUGUAUAUUCUAGUUGCAGGUCCUUCUGGUUGUGCCAUGUGGGACGCCGCCUCAGUGUGGCCUGACGAGCGGUGCCAUGUCCGUGGCCGGCGUCUGAACCGGUGAAACCCUGGG
ensembl:lncRNA